rnacentral:rRNA from 1 species
UAGGGAAUCUUGGACAAUGGGCGCAAGCCUGAUCCAGCCAUGCCGCGUGAGUGAAGAAGGCCCUCGGGUCGUAAAGCUCUUUUCUGAGGGAAGAAAUACCGGUGAGGAAAUGCUCCGGGAUUGACGGUACCUCAGGAAUAAGGAACGGCUAACUCCGUGCCAGCAGCCGCGGUAAUACGGAGGUUCCAAGCGUUGUUCGGAAUUACUGGGCGUAAAGGGGGCGCAGGCGGAUUGGUCAGUGGAAAGUGGAAGCCCGGGGCUCAACCUCGGAUGUGCUUUCCAUACUGCCAAUCUUGAGUACGUGAGAGGAGAGCGGAAUUCAGGGUGUAGCGGUGAAAUGCUUAGAUAUCCUGAGGAACACCGGUGGCGAAAGCGGCUCUCUGGCACGAUACUGACGCUGAGGCCCGAAAGCGUGGGGAGCGAACGG